GCACAACGAGCACUUUUCAAUAUGAGAUUCGUGCUCACCUAAUCCUAGACGACGUUUUGUCCAAAACCAACCCAAUUUUUCUGGCAAUUUAUGGUUCUUGCUAACGUUGGUUGUAUAGCAAUUAUUAUAGCCCCUUUAUGGAGUUUU
ensembl:ncRNA F33D11.13 ncRNA